rnacentral:ncRNA from 2 species
AUAUUUAGCUAGGGGGGCUGGUGUUGCCAGCUGAGAUAGAAAACAAGAUUUUCUGACUCUUAUAACCUGAUCUGGGUAAAUCCAGCGUAGGGAAGCAUUAGUUUUGUACU